UUGUGACUCUAAUCUUCACAAUUAUCGUUUUUAAGUUAUAAAAUUCUACUCGCGGACGAUCUCAACACGACUAAGAUAAAUAUUUCGUCUAUUUUGUUCUAGGCAGAAAAGAUCCAUGUUCCAGGUUCAUCUGCUACAACGGGGGAGUGUGUAUCAGAGCCUUUGGCAGCCCCCAUACCUGUGUGUGUCCACCUGAUUUCACCGGACCACGAUGUAAAACAAAAGUGACGACUACGGCCAGAUGUCCAGCUACAGAAACAUUUGGAAUACAGGAAGGAAAAAAAUGUGUAAGUGACACAAUGUGUGCAGACAAUCAGAUCUGUUGUUACAGCGCUACUGACAGAAGAUGUACUUACGUGCCCAAUCACCUUGAACUCCUCUACAACCCUACCUGUGGCGGGUGUCCCGGACUUCUGGAAUGCAUAGAAAUAGAUAAAAAGUACAGAUGCGUCUUCCUCGAGUGAAACCAUACAACAGUCUGGAAUUCCUAAUAAUCCAGACGAUUUACCUUACUAAUUUAAAACUGCAAUAGAACCUUAAUAUAAAAACAUUAUAAAAUUGUAUCAAAACUGCUAAUUGUAUGCCAUUUUAUUUUUUGUGAUUAAAGUAUCUUCCUUUUAAACUAAUCUUAAUAUAUUGUCAAAAAGCAUACUACAAAUAAACUUGUAUAAAUAAAAUG